GAGAGAAAUGGAAAGAAGAGAAAAGAAAUCAAAUUUGAUUUCCAUCAAUUCUCCUGUUUGGACAGUAAUUUGAAGAUGGAAAGGGGGAGAAAUGAGGAGAAAACGUAUUUCUCCACCUACUACAUAUGCUCUAAACGAUUUUCCUGCAAUUUGGAGGGGAAUGGAGGGAAAUUAUUCCUGUUAACAUGGAAAUGGCUUCAAUGGCCUUCAAUCACUUCAAUAGAAAAAUCAUUUCUGCUACUUUGUGCUCCAAAGAGUUUUUCACUAUCAUCGUUCCUGCCCUUCUCUCUACAGCAGAAAGAUGAAAGUCUGGUUGCUGAAGUGGAUGCAGAUCUCUCAAAUAGGGAGGAAGUGGAAGAUUAAUCUCAAUUUCGAGAUAAAGAUGAUGAAGAUGCUAGAUUAAGUGCUACAAUAAGAGAUAAUAUUGCAGCUAUAAUGUGGCAUGAUUAUGUUUCAAAUGAAGGAUGAUUAUAAUUUGUUAUUUUUAAGUUGAAUUUGGUACUAUAUAUUUUGCUUAUGUUAAUUGAAUUGGAUGAACUAUUGAUAAUAUUGAAC
rnacentral:misc_RNA from 1 species